rnacentral:lncRNA from 1 species
GUAUAUUGCGGCUGAGGAAUGAGGCUGAAGAAGGGUGAGUGUGGUUAGACUGGAAGUGUUUGAGGAGAAGAAGCGCUUGAAGAGGACGUGCUGGCUGGACUACCGUAGUCAAAGGCAACAGGCUGGAGUCGCUUACGGUUAGCAUCCUCACCGGGUUAUGCAGGAGAGCCUCUGGCAAUUCUGCUGCCAGAGAAGCCAAGCUGUCAAGAAGACUUCAGUUUUUUUCAGGAUAGUAGUACCAGCUGAAUGUUGGCUCAAGGUAAUGACUAGCUAAGUAGGCUCUGUGCACCAUUCCCCAUUCAGGAUGCAGACGCUCUUUUGUAUUAGUUAAUUAGCAGUUAUUUGUUGAUUGCCAACUAAAUAUCAACACUAAAAAAGGCCAUUAAGAAGAGGUAUAUGGGAGAAAACUUUCCUUUGAAGAAUGUUUGGGAAAACAUGGUUGGGAUUAUGAUUUAGUCUCAGUUAAGUGGCAAUAAUGUCUAACUCCCUAAAAGUAGCUUUGCGCCCUAGCCACCAACAUGGAGUAGCAGCAUUUUAACUUUCAUCAAAGUAGGUAUAUCCCUAUUAUCUCGUGACCAACUUCUAUCCAAACUUUAGUUCUGAGGAACAGUAAUUAGAAAGAGAGAGAGAAAAAGAGGGAAAGGAGGAAAGGAAGAAAGAGAUUAAAUAAAUAAAGGACUAGAUUAUACA